rnacentral:rRNA from 1 species
AAGUCGUAACAAGGUUUCCGUAGGUGAACCUGCGGAAGGAUCAUUGUCGAUACCUGAAAGACAGACCCGCGAACACGUAUCCACAACGGGGCGCGGACGGGUCUCCCCCGGGAGGUCCGUCCCCGUCAUCCCGCCCGGCGUGCGCCCCGUGCGCCCGUCCGGUGCGGGCCAACCAACCCCGGCGCGGAAUGCGCCAAGGAAAACUCACAGAGAAGCGCCGRCCCUCCCGUGCCCCGUCCGCGGUGCGCCCGGGAGGAGACCGUGCGUCUCUUGAAACGUCUUAACGACUCUCGGCAACGGAUAUCUCGGCUCUCGCAUCGAUGAAGAACGUAGCGAAAUGCGAUACUUGGUGUGAAUUGCAGAAUCCCGUGAACCAUCGAGUCUUUGAACGCAAGUUGCGCCCGAAGCCAUUAGGCCGAGGGCACGUCUGCCUGGGCGUCACGCAUCGCGUCGCCCCCCCUCCCAAACCCUCGAAACCGGGGGCGCGGGUCCCGCGGGGGCGGAGACUGGCCUCCCGUGGACGCUACGYCCGCGGCCGGCCCAAAAACGAUCCCGCAACGACGGAAGUCACGACAAGUGGUGGUUGAACCCUCAACGCGCGUGYUGUCGUGGCGUACUCCGCUCGGCGCGCAGGAAUCGAAAACGAUCCGACGGCCCUCCGGACUCCCGAUCCCGCACGGGUGUGGGAAGUCCGAGAGAGCCUCCGACCGCGACCCCAGGUCAGGCGGGACU